rnacentral:rRNA from 1 species
GCAAUCUAUACGGUGAAACUGCGAAUGGCUCAUUAAAUCAGUUAUCGUUUAUUUGAUAGUACCUUACUACUUGGAUAACCGUGGUAAUUCUAGAGCUAAUACAUGCUAGAAACCCCGACUUCGGGAGGGGUGUAUUUAUUAGAUAAAAAACCAACGCCCUUCGGGGCUUCUUGGUGAUUCAUGAUAACUUAACGAAUCGCAUGGCCUUGCGCCGGCGAUGGUUCAUUCAAAUUUCUGCCCUAUCAACUUUCGAUGGUAGGAUAGUGGCCUACCAUGGUAUCAACGGGUAACGGGGAAUUAGGGUUCUAUUCCGGAGAGGGAGCCUGAGAAACGGCUACCACAUCCAAGGAAGGCAGCAGGCGCGCAAAUUACCCAAUCCCGACACGGGGAGGUAGUGACAAUAAAUACUGAUACAGGGCUCUUUUGGGUCUUGUAAUUGGAAUGAGUACAAUUUAAAUCCCUUAACGAGGAACAAUUGGAGGGCAAGUCUGGUGCCCGCAGCCGCGGUAAUUCCAGAUCCAAUAGCGUAUAUUAAAGUUGUAGAAGUUAAAAAGCUCGUAGUUGAACCUUGGGUCUGGCUGAACGGUCCGCUUCACCGAGUGCACUGAAUGGGUAACCUGUAUACCGGAGAGACGUAUGCCCUUCCUGGAUGUGUCGUGGAUUAGGAUUUUUACUAUCUUGAAAGGGA